CCUACGGGAGGCUGCAGUGAGGAAUAUUGGUCAAUGGGCGCGAGCCUGAACCAGCCAAGUAGCGUGAAGGAUGACUGCCCUACGGGUUGUAAACUUCUUUUAUAAAGGAAUAAAGUGAGGCACUUUUGCCUUUUUGUAUUUACUUUAUGAAUAAGGAUCGGCUAACCCCGUUCCAGCAGCUGCGGUAAUACGGCGGAUCCGAGCUUUAUCCGGAUUUAUUGUGUUUAAAGGGAGCGUAGAUGGGGUGUUAAGUCAGUUGUGAAAGUUUGCGGCUCAACCGUAAAAUUGCAAUUGAUACUGGCAGACUUGAGUACAGUUGAGGUAGGCGGAAUUCGUUGUGUAGCGGUGAAAUGCUUAGAUAUCACGAAGAACUCCGAUUGCGAAGGCAGCUUACUAAACUGCCACUGACAUUGAUGCUCGAAAGUGUGGGUAUCAAACAGGAUUAGAUACCCUUGUAGUC
rnacentral:rRNA from 1 species